UAAGCAUAAUUUAAAUAUUUGCUAAUGUAACUCAUAUAUAUGUGUGCUUCCUUUUCUUUUCUGUGUCUAUGCUGUUUAUGUCUGAAAAUGUCAAUGUUGUAAGGGUUGGAUAUGGGUUAUUUUAGCAGGGGGAAAAGAGGCUGUUUCUUUGGCUAUCCAGACGGCAGAGAGGUUCCGGACUGAUCUCCUUAGACGAGGUGUUCUUUUAGUCCCUGUAAUCUGGGGUCAAGGUACGGCACCACAAGUUGAGAAGAAAGGUUUUGGUGUCCCUCGAAAGGCAGCCGAUGCUCUUCCUUCUAUUGGGGAAGAUUUCGAGAAACGGGCUCAGUCUAAAACUACAAGAUCAAAGUUGAAAGCUGAAAUUCGAUUUAAGGCUGAGAUUGUAUCGCCUGCAGAAUGGGAAAGUCUAGGUGGAUAAGGGAUCAGCAGAAGUCUGAAGGAGUUACUCCCGGUGAGGACGUCUACAUUAUACUGCGCCUAGAUGGUCGGGUCCGAAGAUCAGGGAAGGGCAUGCCUGACUGGCAACAAAUAUUGCAGGAGCUGCCACCAUUGGAGGCAAUACUAAGCAAGCUAGGAAGAUAGGAAGAGUUUCUUGCAUCAUCCGAGUCUUACAUAACAGAAUUUUGAGCCAAGACACAUGCCAUUUUUUACUCUAUAAUUGUUAUUAUAAUUUCCAUCCCAUCCUUGAUGAUACCACAUGAGACCAUUUCUAUUGUAUAAUUUUCUACACCCAGGACCCUAUAGUUGGUCCUUUGACACUGCUCAAAAAUCUUUUACAUUCUUUCAUUUGUCCUAAACAUUAAUGUAUUAUAACUUUUCAUAGCAAUUUUUGAAAAAGGAGAAGUAGAUAUUGGUAUUUGGAAGUGA